UACGUAGGGUGCAAGCGUUGUCCGGAAUUAUUGGGCGUAAAGGGAGUGUAGGCGGUUUGUUAAGUCUUCUGUGAAAUCUACGGGCUUAGCCUGUAACGUGCAGAGGAAACUAGCAGGCUUGAGUGUCGGAGAGGAUAGGGGAAUACCCAGUGUAGAGGUGAAAUUCGUAGAGAUUGGGUGGAACACCAGUGGCGAAGGCGCCUAUCUGGCUGACAACUGACGCUGAGACUCGAAAGCAUGGGGAGCAAACAGG
rnacentral:rRNA from 1 species